rnacentral:rRNA from 1 species
AUGCACGCUGGCGGCGCGCCUAACACAUGCCAGUCGAACGGUUAAAGCACCUUUUAGGUGUGUAUAAAGUGGCGAACGGCUGAGUAACACGUGGGCAACCUGCCCUCCUCUUGGGGAUAGCCUCGGGAAACCGAGGAUAAUACCCGAUACUUCAAUGUGGCCGCAUGACGACAUUGAGAAAGCUUUUGCGGAGAAGGAUGGGCCCGCGGCCUGUUAGCUUGUUGGUGGGGUAGAGGCCUACCAAGGCAAUGAUGGGUAGCUGGGUUGAGAGACCGACCAGCCAGAUUGAGACUUAGGCACGGCCGAGGUGCCGACGGGAGGCAGCAGGGGGGAAGCUUGCACAAGGGGCGAAAGCCUGGUGCAGCAACGCCUCGUGUGGGAAGAAGGUCUUCGGGGUGUAGACCACUUUCAGCAGAGAAGAGGCGUUAAGUGACGGUACCUGCAGAAGAAGCCCCGGCUAACUUCGUG